GUGUGUGUUUGUGUCUAUCCUGUAAACUACAUGUAACUGAAUUGACUAUUUUCUUGUGUUUUUGUCCAGGUAAUCUAUGGCCAGGCAAAGAAGAAAAAGCUAAACACACGUUCAAACUGACACUGUUGCCAUGCCGACUCGGAAAGUUGAAACGUAGCCAGAUGAGGACCCUAAUUUACACAGACACGUCGCCUGGUUUUACAUGUACAGUAUGAACAAGUCGCCAUUUUGUACCGUGUGUAGUCAAUUCUACCGUGUGUAGUCAAUUCUACCGUGUGUAGUCAAUUCUACCGUGUGUAGUCAAUUCUACCGUGUGUUGUCAAUUCUACCGUGUGUAGUCAAUUCUACCGUGUGUAGUCAAUUCUACCGUGUGUAGUCAAUUCUACCGUGUGUAGUCAAUUCUACCGUGUGCAGUCAAUUCUACCGUGUGUAGUCAAUUCUACCGUGUGUAGUCAAUUCUACCGUGUGUUGUCAAUUCUACCGUGUGUCGUCAAUUCUACCGUGUGUAGUCAAUUCCACCGUGUGUAGUCAAUUCUACCGUGUGUUGUCAAUUCUACCGCGUGUUGUCAAUUCUACCGUGUGUUGUCAAUUCUACCGUGUGUUGUCAAUUCUACCGUGUGUUGUCAAUUCUACCGUGUGUAGUCAAUUCUACCGUAUGUGUAUAAUAAUUACACUGUACAUUCUUGGUAUAUUGCUGGACGUAGGCAGUAAACUACCAGCUGAUUGAUUUUUUCUUACAUUACACAUUGUCUGCUGAAUACAUUACAUACAUCUUAUUUGGCAUACUCUUUACAACUAAAUUUCAUGAAUAAUUCUGAUUGUUGCUCUCGCCUGGUGUAUAAACUGCAUACAAGUGGCUAAUUGGUGUUCUAUGCCUGUUUACAAUGUGAUUUAAGUUCAUUUACUUCAUUUUCUUCUUCAAGACAUUCUCCGCUUGCUCUGGUUUCCUUUCCAUGUACCUGUAGGUCUGGGCGUGACUAAUAUUGGAAUGAUUUGACUAUAGGUUGACUAGCCGUUGUGUACUUCUAAUUACCCCUUCCUAUGUUACAUUAUUGACUUUGUCACUGGCUCUGCUUUUUGUAUUUUAUUAUCUGCACAUACAUGUACAUGUAUUGGAGCCUGUGAUAAGAUGGACCCCGUGGGAGACAGCAAGGUUUGGUUUUCUAAAACUUG